AUUGAACCUGAAACUGUUGUGCAUCAUUUCUGUCAAGUAACAUGAGUAGUUUGAUGAUAUAGUUAGUGGUUGCAAAAGCUAAUACCUUGACAAAAUCAUUUCAACAUAAAAAUAUUAGGGUUACGAGUUAGUCUGGAAACCCUGAACACAGUGUUUUUGGACCGUUAUCAGCCUUCAAAAAUUAUUUUAUAUACAGACUAGAAAUAAAAAUAUUGUACACCUUUUUGUUGCAUUACCUUCAUCAUGUCCAUCAUUAUAAAUACCAACAAACACAAAAACUUACCAGUUCCUUCCAUGUGCAUACAGAGUGUCAGACAUCUACUGACAUCUAAAAACUACUGCUACAAAUAUCAAUGUUCCUGUUGCUAUAGUAACACAACAUGGAACUUUCUAAAAAUGUACAUAAAAUUUUAGCUCUUCCCUAACGCCAAAAUAACAUAUAUGUCUGUUUCCUGCUUCCGACCG
rnacentral:lncRNA from 1 species